UGGGGAAUUUUCCGCAAUGGGCGAAAGCCUGACGGAGCAAGACCGCGUGGGGGAAGAAGGUUUGUGGAUUGUAAACCCCUUUUGAUUGGGAAGAUGAUGACGGUACCAAUCGAAUCAGCCUCGGCUAACUCCGUGCCAGCAGCCGCGGUAAUACGGAGGAGGCAAGCGUUAUCCGGAAUUAUUGGGCGUAAAGCGUCCGUAGGUGGAUAUUCGUGUCAGUUGUUAAAGGAUGCGGCUUAACCGCAUAAAGGCGAUUGAAACUGGAUGUCUAGAGUGCGAUAGGGGCAAGGGGAAUUCCCAGUGUAGCGGUGAAAUGCGUAGAUAUUGGGAAGAACACCGGUGGCGAAAGCGCCUUGCUGGGUCUGCACUGACACUGAGGGACGAAAGCUAGGGGAGCGAAAGGGAUUAGAUACCCCUGUAGUCCUAGCUGUAACGAUGGGUACUAGGCGUUGUCCGUAUCGACCCGGGCAGUGCCGUAGCUAACGCGUUAAGUACCCCGCCUGGGGAGUACGCUCGCAAG
rnacentral:rRNA from 1 species